UUACAACUGAACUAAGAUUUUUGGGACAUGCUAUAGUUCCACAGCACUAUAAGUUUUUCCCUUUGUUUCUAGGGACAGCCAAACUCAUGAGUGAAAAUUGAUAUAUCUCUGGGUUCUCCAAUGAAUACUGCCAAGCAUUGGCCAAAGAAUUUUGUAUCAUGCUUUUAGUGGAAUCUCUUUUUGUGAGCUACCUUUUAUGACAACAACUUUGAAAAAAAAGAGAAAAAAAUUAAUUGAGAAAAACCUGACAUCAUAUAUAAUGUUUGACACCUGUGGAUGUCUACCACAUUGUGUCCCCAACAGCAUACACACAUAAGAGUGAGGAUGGCAGAUGAUAGGAGCGAUCCAAGAGAGAGCUUUGACAGGGUGCAAUCAGCAAAAGGAAACCAUUUCCUCUCUGUGUGUGGAUGAUUGUCCUGGCUGACCUUCUUCCUUGUUACUGACCUUCACUUGUCUGCUUACAGUCACAGAAAAAGCAGAGUCAAGACAAUGUAUGUAUACUCUGGGAGCCUGAAAUAAAUGAAAAAGCUGACUUCAAGAGUGGGCCUGCUUGUUUGACACCUCUGAGCAUCAGUGAAGUACAAAUUGGAGGACAAAUUAAGGCCAGGUUUGGGAGUUCUGGAUUUGAUGGAAAGCAGAGAAGAGGGAACCCAUUGAAAGAGGAAAGAAGAUAUGUCUUUUCAUAUGAUGUUAAGUUGGAAGGGGCCUCAGAUGUCAUCUAUCCUGACACCCCAAUUUUACAGAUAAAGAAGCUAAUGGCUAAGAAGGUUGCGACUCAUCCAAGCUCACUUAGAAAACAACUGUCAGAAGUAGAGUCUGAACUUCAUUCUUCUGACUCCUUCCAUCAAUCUUUCCAGUUUAAAUGACAUUUUCUCCCCUGAAGAUUAAAUAGCAUGGGAAUUAAAAAUCUUUCUGGAAGAUGUAUGGUAAAGUUAUUACUUGAAGAUAUACUGCAUAAUUGAGAUGAAUGUGAUAUGUUGUCCAGAGUCCUUGGCCCAUAUGUAUUAUUUUCCAAGAAAUGUGUGUAAAAUAUAAUUGUCCAUAAUCUUUAAUAAAGAUUAAGCUAUGAAAACA
rnacentral:lncRNA from 1 species